GGUCACGAGACCCGACGUCAAGCCCUGGCUGGUCGGGCGGCAACCCUCCGCACGUGGCGGGGUGCUCCAGGUGAUGACCCGGCACGGCUUCGGCCGUGCAAGCACGCCGC
rnacentral:ncRNA from 2 species